ACCGUACUCCUACGGGAGGCAGCAGUGGGGAAUAUUGGACAAUGGGGGCAACCCUGAUCCAGCCAUGCCGCGUGUGUGAAGAAGGCCUUUUGGUUGUAAAGCACUUUAAGCAGGGAGGAGAGGCUAAUGGUUAAUACCCAUUAGAUUAGACGUUACCUGCAGAAUAAGCACCGGCUAACUCUGUGCCAGCAGCCGCGGUAAUACAGAGGGUGCGAGCGUUAAUCGGAAUUACUGGGCGUAAAGCGAGUGUAGGUGGCUCAUUAAGUCACAUGUGAAAUCCCCGGGCUUAACCUGGGAACUGCAUGUGAUACUGGUGGUGCUAGAAUAUGUGAGAGGGAAGUAGAAUUCCAGGUGUAGCGGUGAAAUGCGUAGAGAUCUGGAGGAAUACCGAUGGCGAAGGCAGCUUCCUGGCAUAAUAUUGACACUGAGAUUCGAAAGCGUGGGUAGCAAACAGGAUUAGAUACCCUAGUAGUCCUUGAC
rnacentral:rRNA from 1 species